AUGUCGCGAUGACGAAAUUAACAUCAGGCCAGUGGUUUAUUUUUAGCAACUCUUUUUUUAUUACAUCGAAAGUUCUCGUUAAAAGUCUGCGAAAUGUGAUCAACGCAAUACACCAAUUACCUAAAUGCGUAAACUAAUGAACCGAAACAGUGUAAUUAAAACAUCCUCGUUUUUACAUUUUGUAGACCUUCCCGUUGUAUCAGUCGAGUUUGUGUGGUCAGUGCUUGUGGCGGCUAGAGAGAAAACUGACAUAGUAUAACAGGUAUAUUUAGACUGAGGAAGCAGAAUGUUGGUUAAAUGUAAUAAGCUAAAUACGUCGUUCAUGAUUGAAUAACGAUACACACCUAGGUUGAAAGAAGUGGAUCGUUUUCAACCUUGAUCGAAGUGAUUGUUGCAAAUUUGAGUCAAACAUGAAAUCUACGAUCUGCGUGAAACUUGCAAUAGUUUAAAAUUAUGACUUUUUCUGUUUUUCAGGCUUGAGCAAGAAAUCCCAAUUAGCCGCAUUUGGGAUAGUGCACAAAGCUCUUAAUAUUAUUUUUUUUCCCUGGCAAAGGUAGCAACCAGAUGUGCUUUGCCAAAAAAGUUUUACACUCGCCAAUUAGAUUCUGUACUAUCCUAUUCUUGAUCAUGUUGAUGAAAAGCGAAUGAAACAAAUUUAUAAAGGCAAGUUUCAAUUGUUCUCAUUCCUUUGGUCUUUCGUGUUGCUACAUUAUGUAUUUAUGGAGCAAUCAAAGUCAUAUCCUAUCUAAUGUAUUAAGAAAGUCGUCGUUUAUUACUGACGCACAACAUGCGUUUCUGCUGCACUUGUAAUAAUCAAGCAAAUGUCUCCUUAUUUGUCCAGGUGUCGCUAGUAGAAAGCUAGAGCAAUAGGCACAUUUGCGCUCAACAGAACAGCUUCUUUCUGAAAAUGGUCGAAUCAAACGGGUUUCAACAAGACUUUAGAUCGAAGAAGUGCUCGUCUUUUACCCCGCUGGAAUCUGCCAUGCAAGCGAAGCACUGGUACAUAAAAGCCGAGAAUGCCGAGUCUAUAAACAAAGUAAUGACCGACCGAAGACGCCAGCAAAGUUUUCUUGUCUAAAAAAAGCACCGAUGAAUGAGUUACAGUCACCGAACAUAGGUCGAUUCAAGCAUGGUUGAGGCAUCUUUCGUUUUAGAUUCUUCCAAAACCGGGCUCAGGCGUCGCUGGUCAUCGUUCAUCGCUCGUACCCAUAGAAACAUAUUAGCUCUCUUUGCAGGAUGUCACGACAAUGGUCCUUUGCUGCCUCCUAGCAUUUGUCGCAACCUUGAGCGUGCGCUUGUGUAAUCUCAUAACGAAUGCUUUUUUGGAACGUCUUUUCUAGGUCACGGCCAUUCUGCAAUAGAUGCCGUCAACAGCAUCGUCGUUGUCUUCCUCAGGGUUUAUUUGUUUUUAUGAUUAACAACCAUGCUUGAACUGGUGUAGACGGAAUUGGCUCAUUCUUUCGUUGUGUCUGGUUUGCCGUUUGCUUUUUGUAUGGGUUCAUAUUUGUGCAAGAUUUUUUCCUCAAAACAGUUUACCGGCAACCGUUUAACAGAAUUUUAUCAAUGGCGGUUGGUUUCAGUCAUUUGAUUUGUUCUAGUAAAUGUAUCAACCUAACACCAAACGCCAUUUGAUAAAUAUGCAACGAGUUGUGUCUUGGUAAAUGAAGACAUGAUUUUGCACUAUGAACUAUAGUCAAGCAUGCUGCAAACUAAACUAUACCCUUCUCCAUUCCUAGAAAUGAACAGUUUUCAAAGGAAAUGUUUUCCCUUACAGAUCGCUUGCGUUCAAAGUAUUUUAUGGGCAUAAAUCGCGCUGAAAUUCUUUUCAAUCGAUAACUGGCUGCAACAAGGUAGAACAGAAAAGGCUCGGACAGGUGUAAUCAAUAAGAUAUAGUUAAAAAUGUUAACCAACCGAGUGCAUAAGCCAGACACAUGAUCCCUUAUCUCAAGCGUAUUAUUUUUGCAGACAGUGCGAACUCUCUUGACGUAUAAAUACGCAACACACUCGAUUUACCUUCACCAUGCACGGUAUGGGUGUGAACGUGUCCAUAGCAUAAACACUGCCAGGUGUUUAAUGUUGUGAUCGAUCCGUUCCGAUAGUGUUCCGAGAGUGGGUUGAGGUCCCCGAGUCAUCCUGAAACGGGACCUUAUACCGAACGAUGACAGAACAAUACAAUAACGGUAAGUUAAGUCUAGGAAACAGGAAAACAAAAGCAGCGACACUGCGUAGCAAGUGGAUUAAGCACUAUUAAUUGCAAUCAGGAAGGGAAUUCUCGACGCUGGAUUUAUUGCAGUCAGCAUUGGAUCGGAGCUGUUCCUUUUACCUAUAUGUUUAAUGUUAAAUAACUCGAAAACACACUAUUUCAAAUAAGCAGAUCCCUGCCCAGCUAUAGCUUUGAUUAAUAUCUUUCGAUUAUUUUUCUUUUUUCUAUUCUUUAUUAUUUUUCCUCACUCGAAAUCGGUUAUUUCACGUUAUCGACCAUGAACGGAACCUGUGACCUGUCAUCAAUAUGCGUGCACCGAACCGGAACCAAUUCUCUCUUCCUGCGAAUGCUUGAAAUUUUUUUAUUACACAAAAAUCAAAUUGCGAACGUAAAAAAUCGAAUCUGAUAUGUAUGUUUGUGUGUGCUCGUUAGGAUGACGCAUCCCCGCAGAGUAAUGGGAUUUCAAAUGGCGAGAGAAAAGAUCGUGACAGAGAUCGCAAAAAGUCAUCGAGACACCAUAGCCGUUCACGAGAGCGUGAACGCGAUCGCGACCGCG